UGGAGGUACCCUUUACUCUGA
rnacentral:miRNA from 1 species